CGGGACGUGGCUGAGUAAGUUAAGCAUCUCACUUACACCGAGAAAACACCUAUGCAAGUUAGGUCGCCCCGA
rnacentral:tRNA from 1 species